CACGUAGGGGGCGAGCGUUGUCCGGAUUUAUUGGGCGUAAAGAGCUCGUAGGCGGUUCGGCAAGUCGGGUGUGAAAUUUCGAGGCUCAACCUCGAAACGCCACUCGAUACUGCUGUGACUGGAGUCCGGUAGAGGAGUGCGGAAUUCCUGGUGUAGCAGUGAAAUGCGCAGAUAUCAGGAGGAACACCAACGGCGAAGGCAGCACUCUGGGCCGGUACUGACGCUGAGGAGCGAAAGCUAGGGGAGCAAACGGG
rnacentral:rRNA from 1 species